rnacentral:lncRNA from 1 species
AGAAGCAGAGAUUUGAGUGAAGCGGCUCUAAGCCAGGGAACACCAAGGAUUGCCAAGAGCCACCAGAAGCUGGGAAGGGGCAAGGAAGGACUCUCCCUACAGCCUUCAGAGAGAGGAUGGCUCUAUCAAUGUCUUGAUUUCAAACUUCCAGCCUCCAGAACUGUGAGAGAAUAAAUUUUUGUUGUUUUAAGCCAAUUCUUGGUAUAUUAUAACCAUAGCCCUAAGAAGCAAAUACAGAGGCAAAGAGUAACCUCAUCCUACUGGGAUUAGGGCCAGGUUUCUGGUAAGAAAUGACACAUAAAUUGAACUUUGAAGAACUUAUACUAUCUAAAUGGUAGGAAAUGUGGUUUCCUAUUUACGUGAUAAUAGUAUUCAUCAACCAUUGAGAAUCCACUUUGUGUCAGAUAUUGUACUAGGAGUCAUUCAUAUAUAAAUGGAUUGGACUCUGGCUCAUAUACAGAAGUCAUCUAGACCUCACCUCCCUCCUUGACCAUCCCACUUCCAUCCCACAGUGGUUGAUAAGUAUAAAAUGUUUAGUUUAGCAAAUAGAAGAGGAAGAUGGGUUUGGGGGUUGGGAGAGCUGUGGAGGGGAGAGGGGAAAAGGGCAAAGCAUCUGUUCCCUUUCUGACCUCCUUCUAGAAAGACGGUGGAAGCAGGUUGCAGAACCUCUGUGAGUUGUUUUGUUUACAUGUGAAAUUAGCUGAGGAAAUAGUCAAAGAGACUCUCAGAGGCUCUAGGCACAAGCCCAGCUAUUUGGGGCUGAGCCAGGGAAGGACAUUCUCCUCUCUGCACCACAGAGGCCAAAUGGAGGCUUCCCAAGGACCAGACUCUUUGGGAACACUAAGAGGCAACACCCUUGGCAUGUGCUGUGUUCUCAUGAUGGACAGUGACCCUGGAAAAGUUUCAGCCUCGGCAAAGCCUCAGCAAGUGGCCCUGCAAGCAGAAGCUGGACAUGUGGGAGCUGGGGCAGAAGCAAAAUAACAGGGCAGAAGACGAUGGCAACUGUGAAAGAACGACUGUCUCCUGCUGCUGCCACCCAUUGGCUGUGCCCCCACCUGGAAACCAGCUAUCAAGGGAGCCUGGGGCAA